rnacentral:lncRNA from 1 species
UGAUGCAAGCUCUACCAUAUCAAAAAUCAACCAAAAAAAUUUGUAAAACGUGGAUGUAGAGGGAUAGACGCAAAGUUGUCUUUGACUUGUGAUUCCAUUGACUUAUCAAGGGCUUGAGUGGAACAUUACUUUUUGAUAGCUAAAAUAGUCUAAUUUUGCGUGAAUUUAGUUGUUUUGGUGAUCUAAUUCAAUUUCGAUAGGCUACUACAUUCAACGUAGUUGUGAUUGUUGCGUUUUCUAUAGAAAGAUUCCAAAUCUAUAGCGUUCACAUUCCAAUACUUCAAAAUAACAUAAAUACAAUCGACACAGAACUACACACGAAUAAAUCUACACAAAAAAGGUGAUUUGGAGUUAUUCUCCAUAUAAGCCGACCACACCAAAGUUAGAUCAUAUAAAUAGUUCUUUUCCAUGUAAUUUCAUUUUCGUGCACAUAUCACAACUAUAUAAACCUUCAUUUCAACAAUGUCAUGAAAAGGGCAUUUAGACAGCUUACAACAUCUCCGCGAGUGAUGCCCAUCUGAGAUAGAGCAGAUGCGAGCUUGAGACACCUCUGAUGGGUCUCUCUCCACAAGUAUGUCUUGUUGCCAUAAACAAGGGAGACCUGAUCUCCAUAAACAAAAGCUGCUCUCUCCAAGAAGCUGAUGGGAGAGAGAGGCACAUAGUUGGCUGGGGAUUGCAAUAGACCUUCCAUUUAGAUGUGAGCUUGAGUCUUGCAUGUGGGAAGAAAUUGGAGUUUAUAACGUGGUGCAAAGGAAAAUGACUAAUGAGUCAAGAUACAUUAACAUAGACUAGAAAUUAUAAAAAAACAAUUUGAGUGGUGUGUGAAGUAUAAAAAUAAGGACGUCACCUAGCAUCGUUUGAUUGUUCAAAUUAAUAAUGAGGGAAUAUAUUAUAGAAUGAGUAAUCAGUAGUCCGACGGAACUACUCUAAUUAUUGUAUAUUUUAUGUUUUGUGGGGUUCGUAGUUCAAUUAGACAUAUAAUCCCGCUCCCAGUUAUUGUAUUGAAACAUAAUUUUCAAAUUAAGAUUUUGAAAUUUGAGAAGCCCCAUAAUAUUGGUAAAGUUGUUUGAAUUAAUAAUGAGAGAAUAUAUUUUAGAAUGAGUAAUCAGUCGUUCAACUGAACUACUCCAAUUAUUAUAUAGUGUAUAUUUUAUGGAGUUCGUAGUUCCACUAGAUAUAUAAUCCCGCUCUCAGUUAUUGUAUUGAAACGUCACCUCCAAAUUAAGGCUUCGAAAUUUGAGAAGCCCCCCAAAUUUAGUAAAGGUAAAAGCUUAGAAUCUCAUUGUACUUAAAAAAAAGUUAAUACUCAUCUAUUAUUCUUUUUAGAAUCAUAUUGUUAAAUUUGGCGAACUUGACCAAUAUUUUGCGCCGAAAAGUGCACCGGUAAUAGUGUUACAGGGAAAGUUUUUCGGUAGGUAGAGAUUGUUGGAAUAGGCUUCAAACUUCUAGUUGGAUUUGAAUUCAAACUCCUAAUUGAAUUUGAAUUCAAAGUCCCUGUUGGAUUUGAAUUCAAACUCCGUGGUAGAUUUGUAUUCAAAGUCCUAAUUGGAUUUGAAUUCAAAUUCUCAGCCUAUAUGUACAACUUUUAUGGCUGUAUAUUAUUCUAUGGUGGGAACAUGUAAUGUCAGAGAGAGUGAGAUAUAUGAAAUCUGUAAAUCUUAUUAGAGUAUAUUGAAUCUGCUGUACUCGUAAAUCAUUGUGUCUGUGUGAAUAGUGUGAAUCGAUUUGAGGCACAACACAUAUUUCUCUAAGUCUAAGAUUUGAAUUUUAGAGUAAAGUUAUUAAGACGUGAUUUUCCUUAGAAUAAUUCAUUAAUGUGAACUGUGCAUCUUGUAAUAAAAUAUAUAUUGAAAAUAUUAUUCAUCAAAAAAAGCAGUUGAUCGGAAAUUAGUAUUUACAAGAUCAAAUUACAUUUGUCUUAAAAAUGUAUAGUCUACUUAAAUAUCCAAUGUUAUCCAAAAACCAAUGAUUUGAUCGCGUGGCUCUAUACCCGAUCGAUCUGAUUUUGUUUUUACAAGAAUAAGCAUUUGAACAAGUUAUACAAGAUAAACGACUUGAAUCACCAUCAUAAUUUUUAAUGUGGGAGGAUGACAGCACGUAAUUGAUUUCCUUUAAUUUGUCACGUAGCGGACGCUACAAAAUGUGUAUAAAAAAAGUGAUAUAUAUAGCAUGACUCAAACUCAAAUUAUUUAAAAAUGUAAUUAUUGAAACACUAACAUGGGCUGCAUGUAGUGCUGUCUUGGACAUCACUUGUUUGAUGUCCUCAUAUCAUAUAUACGCAAUUCAACCAUUAAACGACAAGACCUUAGGAAAGUAAAGGAACAAUAUUAAACAAAUAGAAUGAGUAGACUGCAGCUGAUGCAAAUACUUCCAAUAACCUAAAACCCUCAUUUGAUUGGCUGGGUGCACCGGCCCAAUGGCCCGACCAACCCACCCAAUUCAUCCCAUUUUUUUAAAGACUUUGGAUUGUUACAUAGGUCCAUUGGGUUGAGUUUAAGUU